rnacentral:miRNA from 1 species
UAUGUAUAUAUGUGUGCGUGUCUGUAUAUAUACAUUUAUACACACACACACACACACACACACACACACACACACACACACACACAUAU